UAUUGACCAGGAAAACAUCUUCAGACACGAGCUUGUCAGUCAAUUCCCAGACUUGACUUGACACAAACUCAUGUCUGAGGAUUUUUUUUGUGGUCAAUA
rnacentral:pre_miRNA from 1 species